rnacentral:lncRNA from 9 species
GGCAAAAUAAUUAUUGCUGCUGCAUUGCUUCUAGAUAUUAAAGUUAUGUCAUUUAAAAAAAAUUUUUAACUUCUUCUUCUUUUCUUUUUUUUUCUUCUUUUUUUAGCCACACCUGCAUCAUGUGGAAGUUCCUGGGCCAGGGAUCAAACCUAUGCCACAGCAGUGCCCAAACCACUGCAGUGACAGUACCAGAUCCUUAGCCCGUUGUGCCACAAGGGAAAUCCUUCUUCUUUGUAAUUUUUUAGUGCAUUCCAUAUUUUCUAAGUGACAAUUUAGUACUUUAAUAAUCCGUAAUAGAACUGAUAAGUAAACAAACACAAAAUAAACUUCCCAUUUCUGGAAUCCUGUCUCCUGUUACUCCUUCUGCUAGACUCUCAAGCAUCUUCCAAGGUGCAGGUCAAAGUUCACCUCCUCUGUGAAAACUUCCUAGACUCAGACAGAGUUAGUCACUCCCUCUGCUGGGUUUGUCAGCUCUUUGCAUGCGUCUCUCUCCCGCAGGUAUCACAGUGACUCAUUUAUUUGUUGCUCCUACUAAACUGAGGGUCGGGGGCCGUCUUUCGUCAUCUUGUCUCCAUGAUAUCCAGGACAGCAUCUAAUACAAAAUAGAUAUUUAAUUCAUCAUUCCUGUGGUUAUUGACUGGCUCAGUUCUCUAUCUCUGAUUCUCUUGCUUGAAAUACGUGUCCUUUCUCAGCUGACCUUCCUAAGAAACCAAAGAAGUGGGAAGGCAUGAGGGCAAAGACGUUUCUCAGCUCCAUCAAGGACUGCCUUUCGUCUUCCAGCUCAUGGCCACAUGAGCCAAGGGCGCUGACAACACUUGAAGCACCCAAAUGGCAACUGGAUGGGAAAAUUGUUUUCAACUUCCUUUGCUUCGGAAUGGGAACCCAGUGCCCCUUCUCGUGGGGGGCUCCUUAGUGAGGUGUGGUGCCCUUCAUGCGAGAGAGAGGAGGCUGGAGAACACGGGCUGAUUAAGACGGCAACGGAGCACCAAGGAAACAAAGGUUAGUCUUCUAAGUGUUUUUCCGAGCACCAGAGUUUCAAUUCAAGCCUCCCACACAGUGACAGGGAAAAGCCCAAGGCUGAAUGGUUUUGUUUUUACUUCAGUAGUAAAAUAUCAAGGAUGUUUCAGUGGAGAGUUUCUGAUAUACAUUUCAGUAUGUCAAGCUUUUAUCCGGGUCUCUAUAACUUGUGAGAAGAUGCUUGAGGCUGGUGCGAGGGCUGGUGAAGGGGUAUGCUAUGUGAUUAUUAUCGUUAUAUGGUGAGAAAAAAAUUUUUUUGUCCUCUCUGGGUUGAAGAGCAUUUGCUUUGUAAACACUGCGGCUGAGAAAUUUACAGACAUGGGAGGGCCCUCUGGCUACGAGAGGUUUAUGGGUUUUUCUUCCUUUAAAACAUUAGAAUCUCUUAUAUAACCCAUGGGCUAUCUUUUUUUUUUUUUUUUUUCUUCUGAGUAGCCCUUGAAUGUGAGAAGUGUCGCUGUGGAGUAAAUAGAAUAAUAAUCUAUGUGGAAUAAACUGUGUGUCAGAAUCCUCAUUUUCUGCUUAGUAUGGUGGACUUUCAAAGGCCUUUUCCUUUUUAAAAUUUCUCUUUCCUCCUAACCCACACACAUUAGAGAACAGUUGCUCCGUAGUAUCUAGAAAUCAAAAUAGAGAAUACUAAUUUGUCUAAGUCUCUAUUUCCUCACUUCUAAAAUGGGGGUGAACAACCGAAACUAACAUAAAUUGUCAAUCAACUACAGUUCAAUUAGAAAAUCAGAUUGAUAGUCCCACUGUAUAAGAUUAUCAGCCAUAAAAGACAACAUGGAUGGAUCUAGAGAUUUUGAUACUAAGUGAAGUAAGCCGGAAAGAGAAAGACAAAUACCAUAUGGUAUCACUUAUAUCUGGAAUCUAAAACAUGGAGCAAAUGAUCCUAUCUAAAAAUAACAAAUAAACAAAAACAGAAAUAGAUCAUGGCCAAAAAGAACAGACUUUGUGUUCCUAAGGGUGAAUGGGAGGGAGUGGGAUAGACGGGCAUUUGGGGGUUUUUUGGAUGCAAACUCUUAUAUUUGGAAUGGAUGAGCAAUGGGAUCCUACUGCAUAGCACAGGGAAAUGUGUAUGAUUGGGUCGCUUUGUUAUACAAUAAAACUUGAUGAAAUAUUGUAAAUCAACUAUACUUUAAUAAUAAAUAUAUAUAAAUAAAAUCCAUUUAUGCUUUAUAGUUUAAAAAAAGG